AAAGUUAAAACGUAUAGCUUUAAAAACGGUUAUGCCAAGUUCUAAAGACACUUAGUAUACAUGAAGGUAAAUAAAAAUACUGAAUAACAACAUACUUAACUAAGAAUAAUACUUAAUAAAAAUACUGAAUAUAAAAAUUAUUCGUCCCAAAGUAACAAGAGGUUCCAUUUAGUCGGACAACACAAAACUUCGUUCUACAAUAGAUGUUCGAAAUAUCUACCGUUCAUUUUUAGAAACAGCUGAACCCAUCUCCUUAGACCUAAUCUCUAAAGUCGUCGAGAAUAAAUUACAGGUUCUCAGCCAGGGAAGUGGACCCUUUAGCGCGCGCCCCUACUUUAAUUUAUGCAUUUCUUGACCCGCACCGAUGGACUCGGAUUCCUACCUGUUGGUCCCU
rnacentral:misc_RNA from 1 species